UUUUUCUCGUGUCGCAAACAAAUGCAAAUGCCGCUCAAAGUUGUUUAUAUUUGUUCAAUAUUCUUUGUUUUUAAUUUUUUAUGGACCAAAUUCAACCCCAAAAUGAUGUGAAGGUAAAUUUCUAACUUUCUUAAGCACCAUUUUUUUUUACCCUUUAAUACACCCAUCUAUGUAUGUUACAAUUCUAUUCUACAUAAUUAAUGUGUGCAAUGCCUGUCAUCUCAUCAAGGUUGCAUUAGCAUUAAUAGAUCAAUGGGAUCAUUGGCAUUUCAAAUUUUUACAUAAAGUUGCUGAAUAGACAAUACUCUUUUUGAGCUAAGGAUUCUCAUUGCAUUCUUGACUAAAUAUUUUCAUAAAAUUUAUCUAGCUGACAUUUUCAGGGUGCAGGCCGCAGGGUGCCUGUGACAAUAGGGAUACAAUGGUGAAUGGUCCAAUACAGUAAGCCAAGCUGAAAAAUCAAUCUAAAAAACAAAGGAAAUUUUAUGGCAUGGUUUCUUUGUUUAAUUGUUUUCACUGGUUUUAACGGACAUAAUAUGUAAGCAAGUCUGGAAGAGUAGACUGAUCACAUGGGAUGACUGAUAUCUCAUCAUCAUCAUUGUUUAUUGUUACACACAUCUCUGUAUUUUACUAUUCCUAGAUGAUCUUUGUGUGAUUUGUUGUCCCAUCAGAUUAUAUUAAUGGAGCAUGGAAAUUCCCAAUUUUCACACAAGCCUCAUCUGAAUAUUUUGUAUUACCACAGCUUUAGCUGUUCAGCUACAGACAUAAACUUUUCAGCCCAAUAUAUGGGAUGAAUGCAAAAGUUCAUGAUAAAGAUAAUAUAGUAUUAAUCCGUUGGCUGCUACCAUGAAUUUUCCUCUUUGACUUUCUUAGAACGGGUCCGCUCUUGAUUUGAGGUUAAUCCUGCGCCGCUUUUCAAUUACUGAAUUCAUUGGUGGAACCUGACGACAAAUCUGCAACCACUGACUGACGUGCUGUCAUUCAGCAAUACCGCCACUUGCAGAAAAUGACGAUUUACCACAGUCGUUAUGAAGUGCAUCAAUUUCCCAACGUACUCAACAUCACAAAGAUGUAAUGCUCUCUAUCAAUCCUACUAUAUACACUCGCCAGAAAUGUUCAGUUGGUUUGUUUCUUUUCCCUAUCCAGAAUCCCAUCAUCAGAUUGAAGAAGGGAUACUUUCUAGAGAUUCAUUUUUUGCUUUGCGUCGAUCGCACUCACGUCUGGUAGGCCUACGAAUGGUUUGUGACGAAACCUCUUUCCAGUGCCGAUCAGUGUUCACAAACUGUUGGAUCGAUCGCACAAAAUGUAACUAAAGGACAAAUGCAAUCACACUACCCGACCAUGAAAGAAAGUAAUACAAACAUGUCACUAUACCCGACCUUCCAUCAAAUAAACUGCUGCUGCAGUUUAGAAAAUCUGAAAACCUGGAGCCUUGGAUUACCGUAAGAUGAAAUAGGCCUGCCAAGCCCCGUCAAUUUGAACGUAUGGAAGUUUUGGCCACGACUGAAUUUGAAAAGGCUCUUUGUCAACAAGAAAAAACCAUCUGAUCCAAAAAAAAUUUAGGCAAGUUGUUCCCACAAUAUAGUAGACAAAAGAACGUAAAGAACUAAUAGUU